ACGCACGCUGGCGGCGUGCUUAACACCUGCAAGUCGAACGGAAAGGCCCUGCUUGCAGGGUACUCGAGUGGCGAACGGGUGAGUAACACGUGGGUGAUCUGCCCUGCACUUCGGGAUAAGCCUGGGAAACUGGGUCUAAUACCGGAUAGGAGCCAUUUUUAGUGUGAUGGUUGGAAAGUUUUUUCGGUGUAGGAUGAGCUCGCGGCCUAUCAGCUUGUUGGUGGGGUAAUGGCCUACCAAGGCGGCGACGGGUAGCCGGCCUGAGAGGGUGGACGGCCACAGUGGGACUGAGAUACGGCCCAGACUCCUACGGGAGGCAGCAGGGGGGAAUAUUGCACAAUGGGCGCAAGCCGGAUGCAGCGACGCCGCGUGGGGGAUGACGGCCUUCGGGUUGUAAACUCCUUUCGCUAGGGACGAAGCUUUUUGUGACGGUACCUAGAGAAGAAGCACCGGCUAACUACGUG
rnacentral:rRNA from 1 species